AGCGGAUCGAGUGUGACGCAUUAUGGAAAUAAUCAAGACCAAAAGAAUGGAACACAACACUGGGGAAGCCGCCAGCACUUCUACACAGGAUGCCCAUUCACACUUGUAGCGAGGAUUCAGCUGUGUGGAAGCUUCAUCGAUGUGGAUGCUACAGCACAAUCAGGGGAAUGAAGUGAAGACUCCACUGCAACUGUACUUAUGGUUGAUGCAUAUGGCGGUAAAUAUACACCUGCCAACACACGCUCUCUAAACUGCAAAGUAAU